CCAAUAGCGUAUAUUAAAGUUGUUGCAGUUAAAAAGCUCGUAGUUGAAUUUCGGGAUACAUCCGUUGGUCGGGCUUCACUGUCCGUACUGGUGUGAUGGGUUCCUACCUUCUGAAUAACCGGCAUGCCAUUAAUUUGGUGCGCCGGGGAAGCAGAACUAUUACCUUGAAAAAAUUAGAGUGCUUAAAGCAGGCAAGUGCCUGAAUAGGUUAGCAUGGAAUAAUAAAAUAGGACGGCAUGGUUCUAUUUUGUUGGUUUCUAGGAUCACCGUAAUGAUUAAUAGGGAUAGUUGGGGGCAUUAGUAUUCAAUUGUCAGAGGUGAAAUUCUUGGAUUUAUUGAAGACUAACUUCUGCGAAAGCAUUUGCCAAGGAUGUUUUCAUUAAUCAAGAACGAAAGUUAGGGGAUCGAAGACGAUCAGAUACCGUCGUAGUCUUAACCAUAAACUAUGCCGACUAGGGAUCGGACGAUGUUAAUUUUUUAAUGACUCGUUCGGCGCCUUACG
rnacentral:rRNA from 1 species